UACGUAGGGGGCAAGCGUUGUCCGGAUUUAUUGGGCGUAAAGAGCGUGUAGGCGGCCUGACAGGUCUGCUGUGAAAACUCGAGGCUCAACCUCGAGAUGUCGGCGGAAACCGUCUGGCUAGAGUCCGGAAGAGGAGAGUGGAAUUCCUGGUGUAGCGGUGAAAUGCGCAGAUAUCAGGAGGAACACCGGUGGCGAAGGCGGGUCUCUGGGCCAUAACUGACGCUGAGGAGCGAAAGCGUGGGGAGCGAACAGG
rnacentral:rRNA from 1 species